UCUCUGUCGCACAAUCGCAGCCCGCGGAUGACACUGAAAAGCCGCCAGAUAACUUCAAGUACAGCGUUUUUCUGCGAGCUCGCCUCAAGUCUGCGGUGAAGGUUAAUUUACAAGGUAGGCUGUUUGUUUCUGCACCUCAGGCAAAGCGCAGGAACAUCAGUUAUUUAUUUAUUUAUUUAUUUUUAUUUCGAUUAAGGGCAAAGCAAGUGCAUCAGUGACCGUACAGGCUGGAAUGUAGGGCGAAACGGAUUCUUCUUUAAAGUGCUUUCUUCUCUUUUUUUUUUUUUUUUUUUUUUUAACGCUAUCAGGGGGAGUUUAGUUUGGUAAUUAUUUCGUUUGCAUCAGUGGAGCUGCGUCAUAUAUUUGAAGCAGUAUUGCCCAUGUUGUAAAAUCUUCAUUUAUUUGUGUUUCCUAUCUCUGAAAACACAAAAAAAAGGUUAUAGAUGAUGCUAAACAGGGAAGAUGGGGCACAAAAUCUAUCAACUUUGUUCUGUGCAAAAAUAUACUCCAAAAUAUUGUGAUUAUUCAUUAUUUAUGUUAGUCUGGAGG